rnacentral:rRNA from 1 species
AACGAACGCUGGCGGCAGGCUUAACACAUGCAAGUCGAACGCGUGUAGCAAUACACGAGUGGCGCACGGGUGAGUAACGCGUGGAUAUCUGCCUUUUGGUUCGGAAUAACCCCGGGAAACUGGGGCUAAUACCGGAUGGUUCCUUCGGGAUAAAGAUUUAUCGCCAAAAGAUGAGUCCGCGUACGAUUAGCUAGUUGGUGAGGUAAUGGCUCACCAAGGCGACGAUCGUUAGCUGGUCUGAGAGGACGAUCAGCCACACUGGGACUGAGACACGGCCCAGACUCCUACGGGAGGCAGCAGUGGGGAAUAUUGGACAAUGGGCGCAAGCCUGAUCCAGCCAUGCCGCGUGAAUGAUGAAGGCCUUAGGGUUGUAAAGUUCUUUCACCGAUGAAGAUAAUGACGGUAGUCGGAGAAGAAGCCCCGGCUAACUUCGUGCCAGCCGCCGCCGUAA